GACAGAGGGUGCAAACGUUGUUCGGAAUUACUGGGCGUAAAGCGCGUGUAGGCUGCUCCGAUAGUCGGAUGUGAAAGCCCUGGGCUCAACCUAGGAAGUGCAUUCGAUACUGCGGAGCUGGAGUCCUGGAGAGGAAGGCGGAAUUCUCGGUGUAGAGGUGAAAUUCGUAGAUAUCGAGAGGAACACCAAUGGCGAAGGCAGCUCGCUGGGACGUUACUGACGCUGAGACGCGAAAGCGUGGGGAGCAAACAGG
rnacentral:rRNA from 1 species